rnacentral:rRNA from 1 species
UACGGAGGGGGCUAGCGUUGUUCGGAAUUACUGGGCGUAAAGCGCACGUAGGCGGCUUUGCAAGUUAGAGGUGAAAGCCCGGGGCUCAACUCCGGAAUUGCCUUUAAAACUGCAUCGCUAGAAUUGUGGAGAGGUGAGUGGAAUUCCGAGUGUAGAGGUGAAAUUCGUAGAUAUUCGGAAGAACACCAGUGGCGAAGGCGACUCACUGGACACAUAUUGACGCUGAGGUGCGAAAGCGUGGGGAGCAAACAGG